UGGACCAAUGAUGAUGAUUGCCAGUGUAUGAUUCUUUGAUGAAUAAUAUGUGUUUGGAAGUCUGAGGUCCAA
rfam:Otolemur garnettii contig046510, whole genome shotgun sequence.